rnacentral:rRNA from 1 species
CCUACGGGUGGCAGCAGUGGGGGAUAUUGCACAAUGGGGGAAACCCUGAUGCAGCGACGCCGCGUGAGUGAAGAAGUAUUUCGGUAUGUAAAGCUCUAUCAGCAGGGAAGAAAAUGACAGUACAUGACCAAGAAGCCCCGGCUAACUACGUGCCAGCAGCCGCGGUAAUACGUAGGGGGCAAGCGUUAUCCGGAUUCACUGGGUGGAAAGGGAGCGUAGACGGUUAUGUAAGUCUGGAGUGAAAGCGCGGGGGCCAAACCCGGGACGGCUUUGGAAACUGUGUAACUGGAGUACAGGAGGGGCAGGCGGAAUUACUGGUGUAGCGGUGAAAUGCGUAGAUAUCAGGAGGAACACCGGCGGCGAAGGCGGCCUGCUGGACUGAAACUGACGUUGAGGCUCGAAAGCGUGGGGAGCAAACAGGAUUAGAUACCCCAGUAGUC